UACGAACUGUGCAAACGUUAUUCGGAAUCACUGGGCUUAAAGGGUGCGUAGGCGGCUUGUUAAGUAAGGUGUGAAAUCCCCCGGCUCAACCGGGGAAUUGCGCCCUAAACUGGCGAGCUGGAGUGAGAUAGGGGUGUGUGGAACUUCCAGUGGAGCGGUGAAAUGUGUUGAUAUUGGAAGGAACGCCAGUGGCGAAAGCGACACACUGGGUCUCAACUGACGCUGAGGCACGAAAGCCAGGGGAGCAAACGGG
rnacentral:rRNA from 1 species